rnacentral:snRNA from 1 species
AUUGCUUCUUGGCCUUUUGGCUAAGAUCAAAUGUAGUAUCUGUUCUUAUCAGUUUAAUAACUGUAGGUCUUAUCAAAGCACACUCCUGUGUAAAACCCUUCAGUGAAGUCACUCCAACAAUUACCUGCCGUUCUUUACCCUGCUCUGUAGCCCGGGAGGCUGCAGAUUACAUCCCCAGAACUCUGUUGGCUUCUAGCUUU